UCNUCUGGCUUAACUGGGGGCGUGCGGUGGGUACGGGCUGACUNGAGUGCGGUAGGGGAGACUGGAACUCCUGGUGUAGCGGUGGAAUGCGCAGAUAUCAGGAAGAACACCGGUGGCGAAGGCGGGUCUCUGGGCCGUUACUGACGCUGAGGAGCGAAAGCGUGGGGAGCGAACAGGAUUAGAUACCCUGGUAGUCCACGCUGUAAACGUUGGGCACUAGGUGUGGGGGCCACCCGUGGUUUCUGCGCCGUAGCUAACGCUUUAAGUGCCCCGCCUGGGGAGUACGGCCGCAAGGCUAAAACUCAAAGGAAUUGACGGGGGCCCGCACAAGCGGCGGAGCAUGCGGAUUAAUUCGAUGCAACGCGAAGAACCUUACCAAGGCUUGACAUGCACGGCGGCACUGCAGAGAUGUGGUGGCAUUUAGUUGGUCGUAUGCAGGUGGUGCAUGGUUGUCGUCAGCUCGUGUCGUGAGAUGUUGGGUUAAGUCCCGCAACGAGCGCAACCCUUGCCCUAUGUUGCCAGCACGUGAUGGUGGGGACUCGUGGGGGACUGCCGGGGUUAACUCGGAGGAAGGUGGGGAUGACGUCAAAUCAUCAUGCCCCUUAUGUCUUGGGCUUCACGCAUGCUACAAUGGUUGGUACAGAGGGUUGCGAUAUCGUGAGGUGGAGCGAAUCCCUUAAAGCCAGUCUCAGUUCGGAUUGGGGUCUGCAACUCGACCCCAUGAAGGUGGAGUCGCUAGUAAUCGCAGAUCAGCAACGCUGCGGUGAAUACGUUCUCGGGCCUUGUACACACCGCCCGUCACGUCACGAAAGUUGGUAACACCCGAAGCCCAUGGCCUAACCGUUUUUGCGGGG
rnacentral:rRNA from 1 species